UUCAAUCCUGUUCUUACCUUUCUUCUCAACUUGCAUUAAGGCAUCAGUAAUGUGAGAAAAUUGAAAAAGGAGCUGUGAUAAUGACAGGAAAUCAUGCAUCCAGCAACAGAGAACUCAUUGCCCUUCCCAGAUGUGAAGAGGAGGUGGCUGAAUAAGAACAGACUCAGCACUCCCACUUCAUUAUUUUGGAUCUCCCUGGAUAGAACCUUUUUCUCCUUGUGCCUUUGCUCAUUGAUCUCUACCUUCUGGAUCGCCAAACUUUCAUCUCCAGGUAUCUGUGCUAUGGCAGAGCUGGUAGCACUGAAAACUGAGACCUGUAAUCCUCUUGGGCACCUCUAGACUGGGAGAACUGGCACCACAUCGCUCUGAAUCUCAGCAAUUCAGAAUAAACAGCAGCAGCACCUUCAAGGAGAAAUCACCUGGACACAUGGACAGAUAUACAGCCAACCCUACCAGCAACACCAGAAGCAUAAGAAU